UAUCUCUGUAGAGUCUGCAUAUCAAUAAGCGGAGGAAAAGAAACUAACUAGGAUUCCCUUAGUAACGGCGAGUGAAGCGGGAAGAGCUCAAAUUUGAAAUCUUCAAGGUUUUACCUUGACGAAUUGUAGUUUAAAGAAGUGUUUUCCGUUGGUGUUUUGGUAAAAGUUCUUUGGAAUAGGACAUCAUAGGGGGUGAGAAUCCCGUAUUUGACCAUUACUUCCAGCGUUGUGAUACACUUUCAAAGAGUCGGAUUGUUUGGGAAUGCAGUCCAAAAUGGGUGGUAAAUUUCAUCUAAAGCUAAAUAUUGGCGAGAGACCGAUAGCGAACAAGUACCGUGAGGGAAAGAUGAAAAGAACUUUGAAAAGAGAGUUAAACAGUACGUGAAAUUGUCAAAAGGGAAGCGUUUGACACCAGUGUUGUUUUUCCAAAAAUCAAUUAAGAAUGGCAUGAUUUUGUGUUGUAUUGACCUUAUCAGCUUUCUGCACUCUUUUCUUGUCUUUUUUUAAUGCACUUUUCGUUUAACAAGUCAACAUCAAUUUCUUUUGUUGUAAAAGAGUCAUUGGAAGGUGGCUUUCACUUCGGUGAAAGUGUUUAUAGCCUUUGGCCUCUGCAAUCGGAGAGAUUGAGGUCUGCAGCGUAGAUCCCUCGGGGUUAGAUACAUUUGUGCUAAGUUAUAGCCUUUCAUAGACAACUUGUUGACUAUGAUCAGUCAUGUAGCUUACUCGCUUAUGCUAUUUUACCUACGCUUAGGAUGUUGAAGAUGUAGCACAUCAU
rnacentral:rRNA from 1 species